CUUCCUUAUUGUUGCCCUCCCCAAUCUUAUUGUCUACUACACGUCCACUCCUUAGGGUAGUCAGAGCAUUGGCUUGUUAUGAUGAAUUGUAUUUAGCUGAUUUUCUUGAGCCAUGUAUUGUCCCCUAGGAUUACUCACUGGUUGGCUUGGAAGCUUUCCUUCCUCUCGCUUGUUGCAUUAGCUAGUUGCCCCAUUUGGGAUUCUAGCUUGGCGAUAGAUUGUGUGUGAGAGUGCACCAAUUGUGUAAUAGUUUCCAAACCUUGAAGGGAGGUCAACACUUUCUCCUCAAAGGCUAUGUUUCUUUGGGGUGCUGGAAGAGGGACAUGUUGAAAUUGUGAAUAGUGCGUAGGAGGACGGUUCGGAUGAACAUUCUGGAACGGUUGAAAAUUUUGGAAAUAAGGCUGGGGGGUAUUGAGAGUCUGCUGCUUCCAAGAAAAGUUUGGAUAGUUGCGCCACUCCGGGUUAUAAGUGGUAGAAUAUGGAUCAUUACCGGGUCGGAAUUGCGUUUGGGUAGCAUUUACGUGUUCUUGCACAAAUUCAGAGAAUUGUGCUGCCGAAGGGCACUGAAAAACAGUAUGAGACAGACUAGAACAGAUAGCACAAACUUAUGCUUGGGGAAAGUUUGGAAGCUGUUCUUUAGACAUUAGCUGGUCCAACUUGCGGGAUAGUGCAUCUACUUUGUCUGAUAGACCUAUGGACUGGCUAACUUCAUAUAUGGUCCCUUUUUUUUGAGAACUCGGGGGUGCUUGACGAGAACAGGAAGCAUGGUGGAGGGAGUU
rnacentral:lncRNA from 1 species